rnacentral:rRNA from 1 species
UACGUAGGGUGCAAGCGUUAAUCGGAAUUACUGGGCGUAAAGCGUGCGCAGGCGGUUGUGCAAGACCGAUGUGGAAUCCCCGGGCUUAACCUGGGAAUGGCAUUGGUGACUGCACGGCUAGAGUGUGUCAGAGGGGGGUAGAAUUCCACGUGUAGCAGUGAAAUGCGUAGAGAUGUGGAGGAAUACCGAUGGCGAAGGCAGCCCCCUGGGAUAACACUGACGCUCAUGCACGAAAGCUGGGGGAGCAAACAGG